rnacentral:lncRNA from 1 species
UUAUUUAAAAAGUUUACUAACAUGAAUAUACACAUUUCUUGAAAUUUUGAGCCAAAACCUUGUCAAAUUGAUCAAGAUAUAGCUCAAGACACAACCACUAGUAAAUCGAGUCACUUACUACCCUUAGAUUGCAUGCGCUGACUUCAAAAUUCAAUAACUCCUUCAUCCCAACUUGAAAUCCAGUAAGUAGUAUGCAAAAAGUAUAGCCGCAAAAGUGUUCUCUGUAGUUGCGGUGGCCGAUCUUCAAUUGUCUUCUGUACGCAUGCGUUAUGUCAAAAAGAGUGACAGUAGCUUCCAAAUCAAUACCUUAACUUUGAGCGCCUAUAUCUCUUUCAUAUAUACUUCAAAUCAUAUAAGAUUUGUACCAAAACCAUAGCCAAAAACCUAAACUUGCUG